rnacentral:rRNA from 1 species
CAGUCGCCACGGUAAAACGAAGGGGGCUAGCGUUGUUCGGAAUUACUGGGCGUAAAGCGCACGUAGGCGGAUAUUUAAGUCAGGGGUGAAAUCCCGCAGCUCAACUGCGGAACUGCCUUUGAUACUGGGUAUCUUGAGUAUGGAAGAGGUUAGUGGAAUUGCGAGUGUAGAGGUGAAAUUCGUAGAUAUUCGCAGGAACACCAGUGGCGAAGGCGGCUAACUGGUCCAUAACUGACGCUGAGGUGCGAAAGCGUGGGGAGCAAACAGGAUUAGAUACCCCUGUAGUCCCUGUCUCUUAUAC